GCUACGCGCAAAUGCUGCCAUGAGGCAUACGUACACCCCCAACGAUUGGCCGGCCUGUCAAUUGACGAGGCCAUAAUAAGAUUGAGAUCAAGCCUCGCGUUGUAUUUCGCGUCUAAACCCCCUGGGUCGUCAAGAGGCAGGAGUAAAGGGGAGCGCCGCCGCGAUCUAUGGUGCUCAUGUGAUGAUGCACAUGUGCCCGUGAGCAACAAAACUGCGUCUCUCUUCCUUUGUCUAUAGCGAAACUAAGCGCAACCAGCGAGUGAAAAACAACAGAGAAGCUGCGCCAGCACUUGCAGUGGACCGCCACGACGAGCAUCAUCGUAAGCCGACAUGAGCACCAGCCCAAAAGGAUAUGGGCGAUGAUCAUCUGGGCUGGCUCCUGUGGAGGAAGGUUCUUAUAGAAACUACGCUGCUGUACUACAUGUUGACUACGGGGCCAAUUGUCUGAUGGAACGCCUACCGACUACACCGGACGUAGAACUCGAAAGAUGGAGAUCACUGCUAGCAGAAGUCAACACAAAUAAAGCUCCUGGCAAAGAGCAGUUGCGCGGAACAAACGAUGGGGCGAUUUGACUACUCGUGCGACCAAUACUGUAUUUAUGCGUUUUUUUCGAUAGUGUGUUCGGUGAAGUUCGCGGAGAAGAGCAACGCUAAAUACGGGAACGGAUUUACAAGGGCAAGGGGUGACCUGACGAGGUACAAGGUGUCGGUAGCCGUUAUCCUGCUUUCCCUUCCAAACUUCAUCGCAAUGAAAAGGCUUUCCUGUGUUAUUUGAUUACAUUUCGGCUCUCAGGGGGACCCGCAAGGAAAACGAGGUUGAUUGUUGCCGUAAGCGGUCCUCUCGUCCGCUGUUUAUUUCAUGGCGAAGUCGCGUGGCAGCUAGACUCAUGUGCGUCAUCAUUUCGUGGUUCACCGGACACGUUGCAUUCAACCAUCCCUGGUGCGCGUCCGACAAGCACUCGCGAAGUCGUUCUCGUCUUGUCGGUAGCCGUGCAUGAUAGCCGUAAUAGGACCCAGACGGUCCAGUAUCGGCAGGCUCUAAACAUGAGGGGCAAUACGAACAUACAUAUCAACCAGCAGGCCUCCCGUAGGGGCAACUGACCGAAGCGGCGGCGGAGCUGCUAAUUCAGCAGCUUGGAGGUCCACGUUUGUGGCGCAUGAACCUUGCGUUCCAUGGGAAAGGACUAUCGUUUGUUGUUAAGUUACAAAAGCCUUUCGACAAUGGUGAGCUAAUAUGAUAAGUUCAGCAUCGUCGAUUGCCGAGCGGUUAAUGGAUAAGUAUUC